UACGUAGGGUGCAAGCGUUGUCCGGAAUUAUUGGGCGUAAAGAGCUCGUAGGCGGUCCAUCGCGUCGGGAGUGAAAAGCUGGGGCUUAACCCCAGUCCUGCUUCCGAUACGGGUGGACUAGAGGUAGGUAGGGGAGAUCGGAAUUCCUGGUGUAGCGGUGAAAUGCGCAGAUAUCAGGAGGAACACCGGUGGCGAAGGCGGAUCUCUGGGCCUUACCUGACGCUGAGGAGCGAAAGCAUGGGGAGCAAACAGG
rnacentral:rRNA from 1 species